GAUGAACGCUGGCGGCGUGCCUAAUACAUGCAAGUCGAGCGAACAGACGAGGAGCUUGCUCCUUCGACGUUAGCGGCGGACGGGUGAGUAACACGUAGGUAACCUACCUAUAAGACUGGGAUAACUUCGGGAAACCGGAGCUAAUACCGGAUAAUAUUUCGAACCGCAUGGUUCGAUAGUGAAAGAUGGCUUUGCUAUCACUUAUCGAUGGACCUGCGCCGUAUUAGCUAGUUGGUAAGGUAACGGCUUACCAAGGCAACGAUACGUAGCCGACCUGAGAGGGUGAUCGGCCACACUGGAACUGAGACACGGUCCAGACUCCUACGGGAGGCAGCAGUAGGGAAUCUUCCGCAAUGGGCGAAAGCCUGACGGAGCAACGCCGCGUGAGUGAUGAAGGUCUUCGGAUCGUAAAACUCUGUUAUUCGGGAAGAACAAACGUGUAAGUAACUGUGCACGUCUUGACGGUACCUAAUCAGAAAGCCACGGCUAACUACGUG
rnacentral:rRNA from 1 species